AUGGAGGUCGAGAUCAAGCUCCGGCUCCCUGACGCGGCCGCACACCGGCGCCUCUCCUCCUUCCUCGCGCCCCGCCUGCUCUGCACCGACGCCCCCGCGCGGCCCCUCGCCGCCGCCACCGCCACCCAGCGGGUCCGCCUCUACGGCACCGACGACCGCGACCCCUCCCGCGCCGUCCUCACGCUCAAGCGCCGCCCGCGCAUCGACGCCCGCGUCAGCCGCGUUGAGGAGGUCGUGGAGCCCCUCGACCCCCCUCUAAAGCUCACCUGCGUCAACAACCCCGCCCGUCUCGACGCGGUUGACUCCCCCAUCGUCCGGCUCGUCUCCGACGAGUACGGCCUCGGCGGGGACAAAGCGUCGUUCGUCUGCCUCAGCGGCUUCUGGAACACCCGCGGUGUGUAUGAGCUUGAGGAGUGCGAGGGGCAGGAGCUCGUGCUAGAGCUCGAUGAGACACACUUUGAUUUUGGCACAAACUUCUAG
rnacentral:rRNA from 1 species